rnacentral:rRNA from 1 species
CGCAGCCCGGGCCUGCCGCUGCCGGCUCGCCGGGUGGCCGUCGCUGCGGCAGCUAUCGCCCUCGACCCGGAGAUCAAAACCGAGCUGAAUGACGCCUCAAAAACUGAGGUGUUCGCAUGCCCUGUUUGCUAUGAACCGCUGAUAAGGACAGGGCCGCCAGGCAUGAACCUGCCAGCGAUUUAUAGGUCCGGAUUCAAGUGUUCAAAAUGCAACAAGUCAUUCAUCAGCAAAGAUGUCUUCUUGGAUCUCACUGUCACCUCAGGAAUGAAAGAAUACAGUGAACUCAAGCCUGCUAGAACCGAGCUGUUCAGGAGCCCGCUCGUCUCCUUUCUUUACGAGAGGGGGUGGCGUCAGAACUUGAAUCGGAGUGACUUCCCUGGCCGCGACGAAGAGUUCCAAAUGGCUCAAGACUAUUUCCAAUCAGUUGCUGGUGGUAUACUCAUUGAUGUCAGCUGCGGCAGUGGCUUGUUUUCAAGGAAGUUUGCAAGCUCUGGGGCAUACUCAUCUGUGAUUGCUUUGGACUUUUUUGAGAAUAUGCUCCGGCAAUGCUAUGACUACAUCAAAUCAGAAGAAACCCCUAUGAACACGAACCUUGCACUUGUAAGGGCUGAUAUUUCGAAGCUCCCUUUUGCUUCAAGUUCAAUUGAUGCCAUUCAUGCUGGAGCCGCUAUCCACUGUUGGCCAUCCCCUUCAAAUGCGAUAGCUGAAAUCAGCCGUGUGCUGAAGCCCGGUGGUGUAUUUGUAGCGACAACUUUCUUAUCCACCCCCACGAACAGCGGCCUGUUCUCUAUCGAUGCACUAAAGCCACUGAAACAGAUUGUCGGGCCAGUGAACAGCAGCUACAACUUCUUCACGGAAGGAGAGCUGGAAGACCUGUGCAGAUCCUGUGGCCUGGUCAGCUGA